CGAGGUCAGCGCUCUCCUUGGCCACAUUCCCAGGGCAGAGCUUGUGGGACCCCGGCACCCAGGGCAGCCUGCGCUGACGGGAAGAGGCUCGCGGGUGUCCUGUGGGUUGCGCUGCGCUGGGUGUACAUCUGCGCGUUUCAGCUCAUUUCCUAGAAAAUGUCUUCACCUCAGCGUUUCCUUUGGCCUCAGAAAUCCGUUUCCUGCUGUACUCAGAGCUGUGUGAUGUGUUCGCAGCAGAACCGCAGCCAGAUAUUCUGUGGUCUGAUUUUCCUCCUGUGCUGGUGUUACUCUGCUGCAAUUUGCAUCGGAGCUUUUCCUGAUUUGGGCUUGAGUGAAAGGAGAACCAACAGCAGCCAGGCUGCAGGUCCAGGAGCUCUGUGCUGUGGCUUGUCCUCCAAAUGCCAGUGAGGAAAAUCUCUUUGGAAGUUUCUGCCUUGCUCAUCCCAUUUACUGAAACCAAAUUUCAAGAAGCUAAUCGGGCAGAGAGUGCAAAGGAUGAAACAUUAGAAAUCAAAUUAAUGAAGCUGAAUCACCAAUUUGUGACCUAGAAGACUAUUAGGAGUAGUCAGAAUUAAUUAACUCCUCUUUGCAAUGCUUCAGAGGGAAGCAGCUAGCCAGGCGUGGGGACCCGAAGGACACGGAUGGGAUCUGACUACCUGGAGCUGCACAGAAAUGCAGCGUGCUGCUCCUGGGCCCCAGAUGAACUCCAGGGGUGACCGGGAAGCGCAGUCAGGAGGAGCAGAAUGGAGAGCUGCCAUCGUCCCUUCCUGCGUCCUGCUGCUUCAUGCUUAUUCAGGGACAUGCAGAGAAGCUGUGAAAGGGCUGCUGUGCAGUCCUGCCAUCCAGCACAAGAGAAGCUGCACAGCUCCCAGUGGGCAGAGUGGACGUGCCGUGUUGUGGCUUGGCAGCCUGGAGCUGGGUGCCAGCAUCAGCCCUGCAGUGGGACGGGACAUCAGCACACAGCAGAGCAGCCUCCCGUGGUCCCAGAGGGCUGACAGCCACCAGCCAGAGGUGUGGGAAUGGUAACACAGUGCCCUGCUGAUAUGCUGCUGAUUUAAUCAGAAGUAGGACUGAGCCUAAUUCUUUCAGGGUAAGGUGGUCCAUGGAUCAAACUGUGGAUUCUUUCCUUUCAAAGGUGGGAGUUUUAGACAGCUCUGGCUGAUCAUUGCCGAAAUAAGUUGGUCGUUUGCACUACUCAGUGAUAUGAAAUCAGCUUAUCAAUUGAAGUGAACGUGAGAGGCAGUACCCAACUGAGUAAUUCUGGAGAACUUUAAAGAUGAGUAUUUUCCUCACUGAUCUUUUGGGGGCAAAUAUGGAAGGAAGAAGAUAUCACUUUUUUUUUUUUUUCACUAGCCUGAACUGCGGUGUUUUUUGAGUUGAUAAACUCCUUUGUGUGCUAAACAGCCCAUGGGAGAAAGGAGGGAAGGAAAGAUUGGUGGAGACGUGGCUCCAGGUCCUUGAAUAAUGCAUUGUUCAGUAAAUUGACUGUCCGACCUGGAAACAGUGCACUGUGUGUGAUCAACAUCGACAUUGCUGGCUGGACAGCUUACAAAGAAGCAUUUUGGAAUUAAUUUGAUGAUUAUGAAAAUG